UCGAAGGGCAUGGAGACUCACAGCAGCAUGGAGACUCAAAGAAGAAAUCAGACUAACUGCACUGGUGGGAAAGGCUCUAGGGAGAAGAGGCCAACUGGAGAAAAGGCCAUCCAGGACUGGUCCGACAGGGGUGGGCAGAGGGAACAGUGAGGAGAACAAUGGAGAGGACCCACAGCUCACCAAGGCUACUCCAAAAUAUCCCACCAGUCACAGGGUCUCCUUCUGAGUUUAAGUGUUAUGUGGGUCAUAGGCCAAGACUCAGACUCUACCCACAGUGACCAAAGUCCAGACCACAGGCCAGUGGAAGAGCUGCAUCCUGGGACAAUUUUAUGGCUGAUGAGAACAUAUCUUGAUCCACUCCACAUUUCAGUGUAACCUUGCAGUAUACCCGUAACACUGGAGGCACACAUCUCUUCCCUAGCAGCCCUUAAGAACCUGAAUGGUAGAGAGAAGGAGGAUCACAAAAGUUUGCUUCCAGCUCUAUACUCACCCACAGAUCAACGAGGGGCAAGGAUAGAAGCAGAGACAUCAAUGGAGAAGAGGCUAUAGAAAGAUUCUGAGCAAGAAAUGACAAUGGGUUGGUAAUGGUAGUGCAGGUGAUAAGAAGAAGUCAUGUUCCGGAUGUACUUUUUCAGAUCAUUUGCUCUGGAGAAAGCCAGCAGGCAUGAGAGGCCCAUGUGGUGAGGAACUGAAGCCUCCUGCCCACAGCCACAUGUGUGAACUUAGAAAUUAGAAGAUCUUCUAGCCCAGUCAAUGGCUGUACAAUGGCUACAACCCUGGCUAAUACCUUGACUUCAACCUCAUGAAAGACUGAGCUAGAACCACCCAACUAAGCUGUUCCUAGAUUCCUCACCAUCAGGAACUGUGUGCUGUAAAAAUGCUUGUUAUUAU
rnacentral:lncRNA from 1 species